rnacentral:misc_RNA from 1 species
GAGCAUAUCUAAUAUUUAGCCAUCUAUUCAUUGAUAUUUCCAUGAAAAUAUCCAUUCCAAAAGUCUCCUGCGUUUCAACCAUCCAACAAAUUCUGGCUACAGCAGUUUUGCUACAUUAUGGCGCCAAAUAAACUACAUUGCAUUGCUAUUGAAAGGUUAAAAACAGGAACAAUCUUUGGCAUUGAGAAGGAAAGCUCCAUAUUAGAUAUGCUCCAGUAGAAUACAGCAUAAGCCACACCAUAGACUUAGUACUUUGGAGGUGGCUGCUGGGUUGGCAACAAUCCAAAGCGCUUCUUUAAAAGAACUCUUUGCCUGGAGUAUUUGUCAUCAGGGGAAAAGCGGGCUGGAUGAGCCGAUUGAGUAGCCAGCCCCAGUGGCGAUUCCUUCUUGGUGGUGUACACCUUAUCACCAUUCUCGUUUAUGUAAAACUGAAGAUACAUUGUAACUCCUUUUCCACCUGGUUAUGCUAUUCUCUGCAAGGAUGAUCGCUAUUCGCUAUGGAAGACGUUAAG